GACUCCUACGGGAGGCAGCAGUGGGGAAUAUUGCACAAUGGGCGCAAGCCUGAUGCAGCCAUGCCGCGUGUAUGAAGAAGGCCUUCGGGUUGUAAAGUACUUUCAGCGGGGAGGAAGGCGAUGCGGUUAAUAACCGCGUCGAUUGACGUUACCCGCAGAAGAAGCACCGGCUAACUCCGUGCCAGCAGCCGCGGUAAUACGGAGGGUGCAAGCGUUAAUCGGAAUUACUGGGCGUAAAGCGCACGCAGGCGGUCUGUCAAGUCGGAUGUGAAAUCCCCGGGCUCAACCUGGGAACUGCAUCCGAAACUGGCAGGCUUGAGUCUCGUAGAGGGGGGUAGAAUUCCAGGUGUAGCGGUGAAAUGCGUAGAGAUCUGGAGGAAUACCGGUGGCGAAGGCGGCCCCCUGGACGAAGACUGACGCUCAGGUGCGAA
rnacentral:rRNA from 1 species